CGACCGGCGCACGGGUGAGUAACACGUAUCCAACCUGCCGUCUACUCUUGGCCAGCCUUCUGAAAGGAAGAUUAAUCCAGGAUGGGAUCAUGAGUUCACAUGUCCGCAUGAUUAAAGGUAUUUUCCGGUAGACGAUGGGGAUGCGUUCCAUUAGAUAGUAGGCGGGGUAACGGCCCACCUAGUCAACGAUGGAUAGGGGUUCUGAGAGGAAGGUCCCCCACAUUGGAACUGAAACACGGUCCAA
rnacentral:rRNA from 1 species